rnacentral:rRNA from 1 species
CGGCAACAGCUCAAAUUUGAAAUCUGGCUCUCGGGCCCGAGUUGUAAUUUGUAGAGGGUGCUUUGGCGUUGGCUGUGGUCUAAGUUCCUUGGAACAGGACGUCGCAGAGGGUGAGAGCCCCGUA